GAAAGGGGCACGUCAGGGCUCCGCGCGCGCCGCCGCCGCCGCCGCCGCCGCCCUCUCUACCGCGCCGCUCUGCCGGGGGCUCGCGCGACGCCAGCGUCUGCUUCCAUCCCGCCGCCUCCUCCCCCGGCGCCCCGCUUCCCCCGCGCAGCGCCUCAUUCAGCCUCUUCCUCUCACGCAGCGGCGCAGGGAUACCGCGGGCCGCCGCCGCCACGGGUCGCCGCGAAGGUCUCCCUGCGCGCGGGCGGGGCCCUCCCUCGGCGCCGCCUCCCGGGCCGCCGCGAAAGGAAGUGGGGGGCCGCGCGCACGGCCUCGGCUGGGAGACCCCGGGAGGCCCGCGCGGCGAGCGGAGGCGAGCCCCGGGGCAGAGGCCUCCCGCCGGCGCAUUCCUAUGGGAUUCUUUCCUGGGCCGGCCGCCGCGGCCCUCCCCGCGGAGGGCGUGAAGCGACGUCGAACAACCUCGGCCCGGCGUGGUCGGGACUACUUUCUGCGGCUCGGCCGGGCCGCCGCCUGCUCCGCUCUUUGUGCGGGCGCCGCCGGCCGAGCCAGAAUUACAGACUGUCCCCAGAAGUAGGGCCGGCGAGGACUAACGAUUUUCUAAACUGGCAGAUAAAAAUCCCAAGAUAAAUGCGUCAGCACCUAAGACAGAGCAAAGGGACACUUGCUCGCAGCUUGAGGGGGAAAAAGAUUCACCUGAAUCUCAGACUGGUUUUGCACGGCCUCUGCUGCUUUGGAUGCACUGGGCUACCAGAUGUAACAGCCCAUAGGCUCCCUUGAAAAGAAGUGGCAGCUUCAGCCUAGGAGGGAACUCAAGCCCGAGUUAACUAUAAUGGAGCCAUCAGGUGCAUUCUGUCCAGCUGUCACAGGCCCUUACCUGGAGGCAGAUGGGCGGGGACAGUGGAGCAACUCUCACAACGUUACUAAUAUAGCAAGCAGUCUUCUCUUAUCUGCAAGGGGAUGCCUCCCAAACCCCCAGUGGAUGCCUGAAGCCAUGGAUAGUACCCAACCCCGUAUAUACUGUUGUUUUUUUUGUUUUGUUUUUUUUGUUUUUUAAUUUUUUUAUUUAUUUAUGAUAGUCACAGAGAGAGAGAGAGAGGCAGAGACACAGGCAGAGGGAGAAGCAGGCUCCAUGCACCAGGAGCCCGAUGUGGGAUUCGAUCCCGGAUCUCCAGGAUCGCGCCCUGGGCCAAAGGCAGGCGCCAAACCGCUGCGCCACCCAGGGAUCCCUGUUGUUUUUUUUUUUUACCCAAACAUACAUACCUAAGAAUAGAGUUUGACUUAUAAAUUAGGCAGAGUAAGAGAUCAUCAACAAUAACUAACAAUAAAAAACAAUUACAGCAAUAUGCUACAACAGAAGUUAUGUGAAUGUGGUCUCUCAAACUGUCUUAUUGUACUGUACUCACACUUCUUGAGAUUAUGUGAAAUGAUAAAAAUGUCUCUGUGAGAGAUGAAGUCAGGUUA
rnacentral:lncRNA from 1 species